rnacentral:rRNA from 1 species
AUGGCUGGUGGAGGGCCGCUGGAGCUAUGGAACCACCGUUCGAUGCAGAUCCUGGUCCUCCUCAGCCUCGGGCCCCAGGUCGUCCUCUUCGUCUUCGCCGGGAUCCGCCGGCGUGAAGCCUUCCCCGUGCGGAGGCUCCUCCUGUGGCUAGCAUACCUCAUGGCCGACUCCACGGCCGUGUACGCCGUCGGCCACCUGUCGUUCAGCAGCACCGUGCGAGAGCAUCAGCUCGUCGUGUUCUGGGCGCCGUUCCUGCUGCUGCACCUCGGCGGCCCGGACAACAUCACCGCCUAUGCCCUCCAGGACAACCAGCUCUGGCUUCGCCACCUCCAAAUCCUCGUCGUGCAGGUCCUCGGGGCAGCCUGCGUCAUCCACAAGAACAUCGACGGAGGUAGCAGCGGGCGGCUGCUCCGGCUUGCCUCCGGCUUGAUGUUCGCCGUUGGAUUUGUCAAGUACGGGGAGAGGACGUGGGCGCUCAAGUGUGGCACCCUGGAAAGCAUCGGUGCCUCGGUCAAGACGCAGCCGCCCGCCAUCCAUAAACAUUCCCACCGUCAGGACGAAGCGUCGGACGAGGAAUUCCUCGUGCGACGAGCCCACUCGCUGUUCCACGUCUGCAAGCGUGCCAUUGUUGAUUCUUCCGUGAUCGAGAAGGACUCCGUGGAGGGGCAGGAACAGUACACCACCAAGAUGAUGCGCAAAGUGGAGCUAUGGGCGCUGAUGGAGAUCGAGCUCUCCCUCAUGUACGACGUACUCUACACCAAGGCGGCCGUGGUCCACACCGCUGCCGGAUAUCUGGUCCGUGUCGUCUCGCCGCUCACCAUUGCCGCCUCGCUGGUGCUGUUCCAGCUCACCCCCAAGGACAGCCACAUCGGAGCCGACGUGGCCAUCACCUACGUCCUGCUGGGUGGUGCCUUGUUCAUGGAGACGACGUCGCUCGUGAACGCGCUAGGAUCGUCUUGGACGUUUGCGUUCCUGAGCACCACCAGGUGGCGAUGGCUCCGGUACGUAGCCCUGUGCAACGGGAGAUGGGACAGUCUCCGGCGUAGGGUUGUGUCUCUUCACCAUCUUGUCAAGGGAGGAUUUCCUGGUGGUAGCAGCACCAGCAGGUACAAAUCGAGGAGGUGGUCAUACAUCAUCGGGCAGUACAACAUGCUGCACUUGUGCACGCGCCCCGCCUUCACACUGCUCACCAGCCCGCUGCUCGGUAGGCUGGCCAGGACGCUGGGACCCAACGGGUGGUGGGACAGGAAGCACUACUCAGGCAGAGUCAAGAUAUCGGUUUCAGUCAAGAAACACAUCUCCCUACACAUGGGGCGGCUGUACAAACACGAGACGCUCAACUCCCUGGGCAUGCUCAGGAAGAAGUGGGGCGAGGAGCCGCUGGACCGUCGAGGGCUGUACGAAGGCAUUCUGAAAGACUCCCCGGGUGUGGAGUUCCAGGAGGGCAUCAUCAUCUGGCACAUCGCCACCGACAUCUUCCUGGCCAAGAGCGAGAGAGCCAAGGCCGAGGACGCGGCGCCACGCGUGGAGGCCAUCGUGAUGCUGUCCGACUACAUGAUGUUCCUCAUGGUGGAUCGCCCCUACAUGCUCCCAGGCCAACCCCAAAACAGGUUGUACCAACGUACCUGCGAGAAUCUGGUCAGCAUGCGGCACCCAAACCGCCGACGCAGAGGUAUGAUCAAGAAUCUGUUCCGCGUGCGUGAUGGCCCGGCUUCCGGCACUUCCAGGGCCUCCGAGAGACGUGAUCUCGCCAACAGACUGUAUGAUGAGUAUGCGAGCCGAAGGUUCAGCCACGACGCUCCCCGUCUCACGUACGUAGCCCGACUUGCCAAACGGCUGCUACAGAAGGAGAGAGCCGACGGCACGGCCGACUCGUUGGACCUUGUGCUUGAGGUGUGGACGGACAUUCUCGUCUACGCGGGCAACAAGUGCAGCAGGGAGUCCCAUGCCAAGAAGCUCAACAGUGGCGGCGAGCUCACGACCAUCCUGUGGCUCAUGGCGGAACACCUCUACCAAGUGUCCCUCGAGGAAGCAUCACACGCGCAGAGAGACGAUGAUGUAUCUAACGUACUAUAA